AUCAAACACUUCGUCGCACUGUCGCGAACCAUGGUGCCCUCCCCGCGCCAGGUCACGGGAGCAGCCGGAAGCCCCCCAUCCCGAAGGGCCCGUCCGUGCGCGCGCCGCCAGGACUACCUUCCACCUCGGCGCCGACAAGAGCAGCUCCAUGGCGUUCUUGAGGAGGAGGAGCUCCAUGGCGUCGGAGCAGCGGCGUCCCGAGCAGCUCCAUGGCGACCUCUGUCAAGGCCUAGGUUGGAGAGGCCCCGAGCGAACCCUCGAUCUAGCCAUGGCCGUGGCGGAUCUGGGACCAGCUCGCUCCCUUGAUCUCCCUCCCUCUGCUACUGCUCCUGCCGCGACAGCACGCGGAACGCCGCGGCUGGACGGUGGGGGACCAUGCCGCCGCUGCCUCUGCUCGCAGAUGCACAUGAUGUGUUUGAUGUAAUGUGUGUUAGAGAGUGAGGGGAGGAGGAAGAAGUCCUGGUCAACAUGCCCAUGUGGCAGUUUUUUUUCUUCAACUCAGCCUGAUGGGCGGGCCGAACAGUUCGUGACGUCAGCAAAGCGCUUAGCAUUUACAGUUAGUGUUUUUUGCCACUGUUUUGGCCGGUGUAAAGUGGUGUUUUUCUGCUAAUCGCGCCGUUAUUAUGGUGGUUCUGUGCAUUUUACUCGGGCAUGUUUGUAGGAUAUUGCAGGUCAUUGGCUGAAUUCUCUGCUUUCGUUUCAUGAAUUCAGGGGAAGAUGAAGAUCAGAACUGAGCGAGGACUGGGGGGUUGCUAAGAGAAGCGUUGAGAUGGGGUUCAAACCACUGGAGUGGUACUGUCAGCCAGUGAAGGAUGGGGCAUGGUCUCAUGCCGUCGAAAGCGCGUUUGGCGCAUACACACCCUGCGGCAUUGACACCAUGGUGGUGUGCAUCUCGUACCUCACACUUUUUGGCGUUUGCUUCUAUCGGACAUGGAGGACGACGAAAGACUACAAGGUGCAGAGGUACAAGUUACGCUCGCCGUACUUCAACUAUCUGCUUGGGCUGCUUGUUGUGUACUGCAUAGCAGAGCCGCUGUACAGGAUUGCCACCGGUACCUCCAUCACAAACUUGGAUGGGCAGUCUGGCCUUGCUCCAUUUGAGAUUACUUCACUGGUCAUCGAGUCUGCUGCCUGGUGCUGUAUGCUUAUAAUGCUAUUGCUGGAGACAAAAAUUUACAUCACCGAAUUAAGAUGGUACAUCCGGUUUGUGGUCAUAUAUGUAUUGGUUGGGAAAGCUGCUAUGUUCAAUCUUGUGCUUCCAGUGAGGCAGUACUACAGUUCAAGUUCAAUAUUCUACCUAUACUGCAGCGAGAUAAUAUGCCAGUGCAUUUUUGGAAUUCUCAUGCUGGUGUAUCUGCCUAGCUUGGAUCCCUACCCGGGUUAUACUCCAAUCAGGAGUGAGGUGCUUGUUGAUAAUACUGAUUAUGAACCUCUGCCAGGUGGAGAGCAGAUUUGCCCCGAAAGGCAUGCGAAUAUAUUUUCCUGGAUAUUCUUUUCAUGGGUGACUCCUCUAAUGCAACAAGGAUACAGAAGGCCCAUCACUGAUAAUGAUAUUUGGAAACUAGAUAAUUGGGAUGAGACAGAAACAUUGUAUAGCCGAUUUCAGAAAUGCUGGAACGAUGAACUUCAAAAACCAAAACCUUGGCUGCUACGAGCUCUCCAUAGUAGCCUCGGUGGAAGGUUCUGGCUAGGAGGAUUUUUUAAGAUUGGCAAUGAUGCUUCUCAAUUUGUUGGCCCAACCGUAUUGAGCCUCUUGUUGGAGUCUAUGCAAAAAGGCAAUCCUUCUUGGAAUGGGUACAUCUAUGCUUUCUCAAUCUUUGCUGGAGUGUUACUGGGAGUUCUUGCUGAAGCACAGUACUUUCAGAAUGUCACGCGGGCUGGUUUCAGAUUGAGGUCUACUUUGAUUGCUGCUGUUUUCCGUAAGUCCUUGCGACUGACAAAUGAUAGUCGCAAGAAGUUUGCUUCUGGAAGGAUUACAAAUUUGAUUUCAACCGACGCGGAGUCCCUUCAGCAAGUAUGCCAGCAACUUCACAAUCUGUGGUCAGCUCCUUUUCGCAUUGUUAUUGCCAUGGUCCUGCUAUAUGCACAACUAGGUCCUGCAGCACUUGUCGGUGCCAUCAUGCUGGCUCUUUUGUUCCCAAUUCAGACAGUUAUCAUAAGCAAAAUGGAAAAACUUACCAAGGAAGGGUUGCAAAGGACUGACAGACGAAUCAGUCUCAUGAAUGAAAUAUUAGCUGCGAUGGAUACAGUCAAAUGUUACGCUUGGGAGCAAAGUUUCCAGUCAAAGGUGCAGGACAUCCGUGACGAUGAGCUUUCCUGGUUUCGCAGUGCUCAAUUGCUUGAUGCGCUAAAUAGCUUUAUCCUCAACAGUAUUCCUGUCGUUGUCACGGUGGUUUCGUUUGGUGUUUACUCUCUGAUGGGGGGUGAGUUGACAGCAGCAAAGGCGUUUACCUCUCUUUCACUAUUUGCAGUGUUAAGGUUCCCACUUUUUUUGCUGCCAAAUCUGAUAACUCAGGCUGUUAACAGUAAGAUUUCAUUGAAACGACUGGAAGAUCUCCUCUUGGCUGAUGAGAAGAAUACUUCUGCCAAAUCCACCUAUUGAUCCUGAGCUUCCAGCCAUUUCUAUCAAGAAUGGAAACUUUUCAUGGGAAUUGCAGGCUGAGCGACCAACACUAUCAAAUAUCAAUCUGGACGUGCCUGUCGGCAGUUUAGUUGCAAUAGUAGGAAGCACCGGGGAGGGGAAAACUUCUCUUAUUUCUGCAAUGCUUGGUGAAAUACCACCAGUAUCAGGGUCAGAUACCUCAGUGGUCAUUCAUGGAUCGGUGGCUUAUGUUCCUCAAGUUUCAUGGAUCUUCAAUGCUACCGUACGGGAUAACAUAUUGUUUGGGUCUCCAUUCCAACCUCCAAGCUAUGGGAGAGCAAUAGAUGCUACUUCAUUACGACAUGACCUUGACCUACUCCCAGGUGGUGAUCUCACAGAGAUUGGAGAAAGGGGAGUUAAUAUUAGUGGGGGGCAAAAACAACGAGUUCUAAUGGCAAGAGCUGUUUAUACUGAUUCAGAUGUUUACCUAUUUGAUGAUCCACUGAGUGCAUUAGAUGCCCAUGUUGGUCGACAGGUAUUUGAUAAAUGUAUCAAAGAAGAGCUACGACAUAAAACUCGGGUCCUUGUUACUAAUCAGCUGCAUUUUCUGCCAUACGUGGAUAAAAUUCUGCUGAUCCAUGAUGGAGUAAUUAAAGAGGAGGGUACAUUUGAUGAACUUAGUAACUCUGGGGAGCAGUUCAAAAAACUUAUGGAAAAUGCUGGAAAGAUGGAGGAACAAACAGAAGAGAAACAAGACGAAAGCAAAUCACAGGACGAGAUAAAACACACUGAAAAUGGGGGCGUUGUAAUAGCUGAUGGUGGUCCGCAAAAGAGCCAGGAUAGUUCAAGUAAAACAAAACAGGGAAAAUCUGGUCUUAUUAAGCAAGAGGAACAUGAAACUGGAGUUGUCAGUACAAAGGUCCUUUCACGCUACAAAAAUGCAAUGGGGGGUAUUUGGGCGGUGUCCGUUCUCUUCUUGUGCUAUACACUGACUGAAACUCUACGGAUUUCAAGUAGCACAUGGUUGAGCAUUUGGACUGAUGUGGGUUCUCUGAAAAUCCAUGGCCCUGGUUACUACAACUUAAUCUUUGGCAUUCUUUCUUUUGGGCAGGUUUUAGUCACUCUCACGAAUUCUUACUGGCUGAUCACGUCAAGUCUUCGAGCAGCCAAGAGGUUGCAUGACUACAUGCUCCGGUCUAUAUUAAGAGCUCCCAUGGUAUUUUUUCAUACCAAUCCACUUGGACGGAUCAUCAACAGAUUUUCGAAGGAUUUGGGUGACAUUGACAGGAAUCUUGCUGUCUUUGUCAACUUGUUUAUGGCACAAAUAUCUCAGUUGCUCUCAACAUUUGUUUUCAUUGGUGUUGUCGGCACUAUGUCUCUUUGGGCUAUCAUGCCACUUCUCAUUUUAUUUUAUGCAGCCUACCUUUAUUACCAGACUACAUCAUGUGAGGUAAAGCGCAUGGAUUCUAUUACUAGGUCUCCUGUGUAUGCCCAAUUUUCAGAGGCAUUAAAUGGUCUGUCGACAAUCCGUGCCUCAAAGCCUAUGAUAGAAUGUCAAACAUCAAUGGGAAAUCAAUGGACAACAACAUCAGGUUCACACUCGUGAACCUGAGUUCAAAUAGAUGGCUAGCCAUCCGGCUGGAAACACUGGGUGGCAUCAUGAUAUGGUUCACCGCAACAUUUGCUGUGAUGCAAAACCAAAGAGCAGAGAAUCAGAAGGCCUUUGCUUCCAUGAUGGGUCUUCUUCUUACUUAUACCCUCAAUAUCACCAAUCUGCUCACAGCUGUUCUUCGUCUUGCUAGUCUUGCUGAAAAUAGUAUGAAUGCGGUUCAACGGGUAGGAACAUACAUCGAGUUGCCUUCUGAGGCUCCUCCUGUCAUUGAGGAUAACAGGCCACCUCCUGGUUGGCCAUCAUCUGGUAUCAUCAAGUUUGAAGAUGUUGUGCUUCGGUACCGACCAGAACUUCCACCUGUUCUUCAUGGAAUAUCAUUCAUUGUUAAUGGAAGUGAGAAGGUAGGAAUAGUUGGCAGAACAGGUGCUGGUAAAUCUAGCAUGCUUAAUGCUCUGUUCCGCAUCGUGGAACUGGAGCGUGGGAGAAUAUUGAUUGAUGAUUGUGAUACAUCUAAGUUUGGAAUUUGGGAUCUGCGGAAAGUGUUAGGAAUAAUACCACAGGCACCAGUCCUGUUUUCAGGUACUAUUCGAUUUAAUCUGGAUCCUUUCAGCGAGCAUAAUGAUGCGGAUCUCUGGGAGGCUCUUGAAAGGGCUCAUCUAAAAGAUGUCAUAAGGAGGAAUGCUCUAGGACUAGAUGCUGAGGUUUCUGAGGCCGGUGAAAAUUUUAGCGUUGGACAGCGGCAGUUGCUGAGUUUAGCUUGUGCAUUGCUACGAAGGGCAAAGAUACUUGUUCUUGAUGAGGCAACAGCAGCAGUUGAUGUUCAAACUGAUGCUCUUAUACAGAAGACAAUCAGAGAAGAAUUCAAGAGUUGUACAAUGCUUAUAAUCGCUCACCGUUUGAAUACCAUCAUCGACUGUGACAGGUUGCUUAUUCUAAGUUCUGGGAAGAUUUCGGAAUUUGACACCCCCGAGAAUCUUGUGAGCAACGAGGGAAGUGCUUUCUCCAAGAUGGUUCAGAGUACAGGACCUAGCAAUGCAGAGUAUCUUAAGUCUCUUGUGCUUGGCAAUGGUGAAGAGCGGCUGCGAAAGGAAGAAAGUAAGUUGCAAGAUAUUCAGAGGGAAUGGGCUGCGUCUAACCGAUGGGCUGUCGCUGCCCAGUUUGCGCUUGCUGCUAGCCUCGCGUCAUCCCACAGUGACCUCCUCUCAUUGGAGGCUGCGGACGGAAACAACAUCCUCAGGAAAACAAGGGAUGCAGUAAUCACCCUGCACAGCGUCCUUGAAGGGAAGCACAAUACUGAAAUCGAGGAAUCACUCGCCGAGUAUGAGGUUCCGCUUCCGCCUGAUAGGUGGUGGUCGUCACUUUACAAAGUCAUCCAAGGCCUUGCCACGAUGAGCAAACUGGGUCGCAACCGUCUACGGCAACCUGGUUACAGUUUUGAAAACCACGGCUCAUCGUCUAUUGACUGGGAUCAAAUUUAGGUGUAGGAAACUGCAUUGCAGCACCACUGAAUCCCUGGAACCUGCGUUCGUGGAAUAGUUUGAAGGCGUGCAGUUAUUAACCAUCUUCUUACGAAACCUUUUAUCCCAAACAAGUUGGGGUAGGCUAGAUAUGAAACCCUUUCACGAGGACUUCCCAGGAGGUC